GUGUACGUACAAGCAGUGGGAGCACAGGUUUACCUGUGUGACUGCGUACCUUUUGUAUAAUGGGUCAGCGACUUAUAUUCUGUAGCAAGGUUAACCGAAUAGGGGAGCCGGAGGGAAACCGAGUCUUAAUUGGGCGUUAAGUUGCAGGGUAUAGACCCGAAACCCGGUGAUCUAGCCAUGGGCAGGUUGAAGGUUGGGUAACACUAACUGGAGGACCGAACCGACUAAUGUUGAAAAAUUAGCGGAUGACCUGUGGCUGGGGGUGAAAGGCCAAUCAAACCGGGAGAUAGCUGGUUCUCCCCGAAAGCUAUUUAGGUAGCGCCUCGUGAAUUCAUCUCCGGGGGUAGAGCACUGUUUCGGCUAGGGGGCCAUCCCGGCUUACCAACCCGAUGCAAACUGCGAAUACCGGAGAAUGUUAUCACGGGAGACACACGGCGGGUGCUAACGUCCGUCGUGAAGAGGGAAACAACCCAGACCGCCAGCUAAGGUCCCAAAGUCAUGGUUAAGUGGGAAACGAUGUGGGAAGGCCCAGACAGCCAGGAUGUUGGCUUAGAAGCAGCCAUCAUUUAAAGAAAGCGUAAUAGCUCACUGGUCGAGUCGGCCUGCGCGGAAGAUGUAACGGGGCUAAACCAUGCACCGAAGCUGCGGCAGCGACACUGUGUGUUGUUGGGUAGGGGAGCGUUCUGUAAGCCUGUGAAGGUGUGUCGUGAGGCAUGCUGGAGGUAUCAGAAGUGCGAAUGCUGACAUAAGUAACGAUAAAGCGGGUGAAAAGCCCGCUCGCCGGAAGACCAAGGGUUCCUGUCCAACGUUAAUCGGGGCAGGGUGAGUCGACCCCUAAGGCGAGGCCGAAAGGCGUAGUCGAUGGGAAACGGGUUAAUAUUCCCGUACUUGGUGUUACUGCGAAGGGGGGACGGAGAAGGCUAUGUUGGCCGGGCGACGGUUGUCCCGGUUUAAGCGUGUAGGUGUGUGUUCCAGGUAAAUCCGGUUCACUUUAACACUGAGGCGUGACGACGAGGCACUACGGUGCUGAAGCAACAAAUGCCCUGCUUCCAGGAAAAGCCUCUAAGCAUCAGGUAACAUCAAAUCGUACCCCAAACCGACACAGGUGGUCAGGUAGAGAAUACCAAGGCGCUUGAGAGAACUCGGGUGAAGGAACUAGGCAAAAUGGUGCCGUAACUUCGGGAGAAGGCACGCUGACACGUAGGUGAAGUGAUUUACUCAUGGAGCUGAAGUCAGUCGAAGAUACCAGCUGGCUGCAACUGUUUAUUAAAAACACAGCACUGUGCAAACACGAAAGUGGACGUAUACGGUGUGACGCCUGCCCGGUGCCGGAAGGUUAAUUGAUGGGGUCAGCGCAAGCGAAGCUCCUGAUCGAAGCCCCGGUAAACGGCGGCCGUAACUAUAACGGUCCUAAGGUAGCGAAAUUCCUUGUCGGGUAAGUUCCGACCUGCACGAAUGGCGUAAUGAUGGCCAGGCUGUCUCCACCCGAGACUCAGUGAAAUUGAACUCGCUGUGAAGAUGCAGUGUACCCGCGGCAAGACGGAAAGACCCCGUGAACCUUUACUAUAGCUUGACACUGAACAUUGAGCCUUGAUGUGUAGGAUAGGUGGGAGGCUUUGAAGUGUGGACGCCAGUCUGCAUGGAGCCGACCUUGAAAUACCACCCUUUAAUGUUUGAUGUUCUAACGUGGACCCGUUACCCGGGUUGCGGACAGUGUCUGGUGGGUAGUUUGACUGGGGCGGUCUCCUCCUAAAGAGUAACGGAGGAGCACGAAGGUUGGCUAAUCCUGGUCGGACAUCAGGAGGUUAGUGCAAUGGCAUAAGCCAGCUUGACUGCGAGCGUGACGGCGCGAGCAGGUGCGAAAGCAGGUCAUAGUGAUCCGGUGGUUCUGAAUGGAAGGGCCAUCGCUCAACGGAUAAAAGGUACUCCGGGGAUAACAGGCUGAUACCGCCCAAGAGUUCAUAUCGACGGCGGUGUUUGGCACCUCGAUGUCGGCUCAUCACAUCCUGGGGCUGAAGUAGGUCCCAAGGGUAUGGCUGUUCGCCAUUUAAAGUGGUACGCGAGCUGGGUUUAGAACGUCGUGAGACAGUUCGGUCCCUAUCUGCCGUGGGCGCUGGAGAACUGAGGGGGGCUGCUCCUAGUACGAGAGGACCGGAGUGGACGCAUCACUGGUGUUCGGGUUGUCAUGCCAAUGGCACUGCCCGGUAGCUAAAUGCGGAAGAGAUAAGUGCUGAAAGCAUCUAAGCACGAAACUUGCCCCGAG
rnacentral:rRNA from 1 species